AACGAACGCUGGCGGCAGGCCUAACACAUGCAAGUCGAACGCUGUAGCAAUACAGAGUGGCAGACGGGUGAGUAACACGUGGGAAUCUUCCUAUCGGUACGGAAUAGCUCAGGGAAACUUGGGGUAAUACCGCAUACGCCCUUCGGGGGAAAGAUUUAUCGCCGAUAGAUGAGCCCGCGUCUGAUUAGCUAGUUGGCGGGGUAAUAGCCCACCAAGGCAUCGAUCAGUAGCUGGUCUGAGAGGAUGAUCAGCCACACUGGAACUGAGAUACGGUCCAGACUCCUACGGGAGGCAGCAGUAAGGAAUAUUGCUCAAUGGGAGAAAUCCUGAAGCAGCAACGCCGUGUGAGGGAUGAAGGGCUUUUGCUUGUAAACCUCUGUAACAGGGGAAAAAACCUCCAUUCUAUGGAGUAUGAUGGUACCCUGAGAGUAAGCCUCGGCUAACUACGUGC
rnacentral:rRNA from 1 species